rnacentral:rRNA from 1 species
UACGUAGGGGGCGAGCGUUGUCCGGAUUUAUUGGGCGUAAACCGCUUGUAGGCGGCCACCGCGCGUCGGCUGUGAAAUCUCCCGGCUCAACUGGGAGGGGUCAGGCGAUACGGCGGGGCUCGAGGCAGGGAGGGGGAAGCGGAAUUCCCGGUGUAGUGGUGGAAUGCGCAGAUAUCAGGAGGAACACCGAUGGCGAAGGCAGGUCUCUGGGCAUUAACUGACGCUGAGGAGCGAAAGCAUGGGGAGCGAACAGG